rnacentral:rRNA from 1 species
UGCCAGCAGCCGCGGUAAUACGGAGGGUGCAAGCAUUAAUCGGAUUUAUUGGGUUUAAAGGGUCCGUAGGCGGGAAAAUAAGUCAGUGGUGAAAGCCUGCAGCUCAACUGCAGAACUGCCAUUGAAACUGUUUUUCUUGAAUAUAGAUGAAGUGGGCGGAAUAUAUCAUGUAGCGGCGAAAUGCAUAGAUAUGAUAUAGAACACCGAUUGCGAAGGCAGCUCACUAAACUAUUAUUGACGCUGAGGGACGAAAGCGUGGGGAGCGAACAGGAUUAGAUA